rnacentral:lncRNA from 1 species
GGAGUGGCGACCUCAGCAAAAGCAUUAAAAAAAAAGCAUAAAUAUCAUUAACAGCAAUAUACAGGUACAUCAGAAGUGAUAGCAACACGGCCGACAAAACCAAUAGCAAUAGCAACGUUAGCAUCAUGUUUUAUAGCGAGAGAGGCAGUGGUAGCAGGAAUAAUAGGGAUAGCAAAACUAUAUUAGCAAAAACUAUAUUAGCAACAAUUUGUAGCUUUAUCAUCAGCAUCAACAGAAGCAACAUAAUUAGCAACAUUAGCAAUGGUUUAUAGCAACAGCAGCAGCAAUUACCACAAUGGCAAUAAGGUUAAUAGAACCAAUAGUUUUAGUAUUGGGAACAGCAUGAAUAGCAGCAGCAGAACCCAAACAACAACAUAAUUUACUGGGCUGUUUAAGAUGCUAGUAGCAGCAAUUAAGUUUACUCGUGAAGUCCUACCACUUUACGAAAAGGGUCAAACUAGAUUAGAUCUAUGUAUAUACUUUCAUGAACAGGAAAAACACGAGUAGAAUGUAUUUUGAUAGUAGGUGUACUCGAAAAGGGCUAGCCAAGGGCUAAAUGAUAACAAUAGUGAAAGCAGCUGUAUCAGUCGUUGUAGCUGCAGUAGAAGCAUUACCAUGAACAAUAAGGGAAGUACCAAUAAUGUGCAAUGAAGAACAGCAGCGAUAUUAGUAACAGUAGUACCACCAGUAGUAAUAGUAACGGUAGCAGUAGCAACAAUAACAUGUAAGAACAUUAGCAGCAUUAGCAACAUGUUCUGCAGCAGCAGUAGCAGCCGCAGCAGCAGCGGAGGUGGCAGCAGCAGCAGCGGUGACACAGGCUACACCAGCCGCAGCGACGACAAGCUCAGUAGGUGAAGCUGCAGCAGCAGCAGCAACAAGAAGCAACAUCAACAGCAGCAGCAGCAGCAGCAAAAUCAGCAUCAUUAUCAGCAGCAGCAGCAGCACAAUCACCACUGCUACUGCCACCAUCACCACUAUCAGUAACAACAGCCACAACAACAACAACAGCAGCAGUAUCGUCUAGCUGACAAUAAACGCAAUGUGCUAAGCCUCCGUACCAAUGGAUAGCUAGCUCUCUACCUGUGGCGACACACAUCAGUAGGAAUACUUGGCAUGUAGAUGAAUGUAGUAGAAGUCGACGACAACGACGACGACGACGACGGCGACGACGACGGGAGAACAAUAACAACAACAACAACAAUAACAACAAAAAAAAACAAAUAAUACCAGGACGGAAUACCCUCCCUCUGUUAAUUAUCACACACUUAGAAAACAAACCAAAGAAGCAAGAAAAAAAAAAAAAAAGAGAGAGAGAUGAAGUGUGAAGAAAUAAUAACAACUGGAAGAAACUAUUACUUUGAAAAUCUAAACUAAUGAGAAAAGUGAAUGAGCAAAGUGGGAUACAUUUAUAGAGAGAAAUACAGAGUAAAAUAAAUAAAUAGUUUGGAGGAAUUUACUUAGAUGUGAAAGUGAAAGUGAAACAAGAUAAAAAGAAAAAAAAAAACCACAAAGAAGGAUACACAGGAAUUAUUAUCAUUACCGUGACUACGAUUGUCAAAAGAAGUCAAAGGGAUUUAUAGAAUAUUUACUAAGCGUUAUAUUAAAAUAUUGUAAAAAUACACACAUACAUACACGCAAACUUAUACAAAAAAAAGGUAAAGAAUAUGUAGUUAUACAUAUGUGCAAAAGUAAAUAAUAUAUAUAUUUAUAUAUAUAUAUAUAUUAUAUAUAUAUACACACACAUACAAACACAGUCUCUCAUAAAAAAAUACACAGAUACAUAUAUACAUAUACACAUCCAUAUAUAUAUAUAAAUACAUAUAUACAUACACACGCACAUAUAUACUUAUAUAUAUAUAUACAUACAUAUGAACAAAUUUAUAAGUAUGAUAAAAUAAGCCACCCCGCCCCCCUAAAAAAGCUAAAGAACAAAUGAUAAUAUAUUGUUGUAGUAACACAAACACACAUAUAUAUACAAAUAAGUGUGUAUUAUUUGAUAUAUGAAAUUCAAGUAUUAGCAACAAUAAGUAUAGAAGUAUAAUUAUUAAUAUUAAUUAUAAUAUUUUAAUUAUAUAUAAUUAAGGAUUUAUCUUUUAUAUUCUUAUAUACAUAUACAGAGAGAGAGAGAGAGUGAGAGAGAGAGAGAGAAAGAAAGAAAGAGUGAGGUAGACAGAUAAAUAGAUACAAAUAUACAUAGAAAUAGUUUGGGAAGGCAAUAAAAAGUCUGAAAAUUUUAAGUGCAAAACGAAAAUUUUGGUUUAGCUUCAGAAGAAAGAACAACAAAAACGAAGUUGUUUUAUAUAUUUAUUUUAUUUUUUAUUUUGUCGAAACAGUUGAAGUUUGUAGGCGAUGAGGAGAAUAAAGAAACCCGAUAUAGAAUAAAAUUUUAAGUAUAUUAAGAACACUUAGUGGGGAAAAUGAAAGCAUAUACAUGUGUUUAUAUGUAUAUAUAUAUACAUUAAAUUAAAAUAGAAAAUCAGACGACAUCCACCUUAGCGGGAGUAAAAGUAACGCUAAAGUCUACACUCGUGAAAAGAAAUUUCCUAAAUUCAAAGAACAGUUGUAGAAUUUAGACUAUAAAAGCAAAGAUUGAAACGGAAUAGUAUAUAUACAUAUAAAUACAUAUUUUAUACUUUCUUGCCCAAUUACUGUAUAUAUUUGUAUAUACCACAUAUCUAAACAUAUUUGUAUAUACAUACAUAAUAUAAUAUAUAUAUAUAUAAGUAUAUAUGUGUGUCUGUACAUACAUACACAAUUAACAAAUAUCCAUACACACAAUUUCGUUUAAUUAUAUGUUUAUUAAAAUAUUUGUAUAUGUAUAUGUAUUUAUAUAUAUAUAUUAUACAUAACAUAUGCAAAGCUACUUGUAAGUAGGCAUUAUAUCGUUGGAGAUUUUCACAUAUUGAUAUAUACAUACAUAUACAUAUACAUAUAUAUAUAUAUAUAUAUAUAUAUAUAUAUAUAUAUAUAUCUUCUUCUAUAGAAUAAAUCCACGAGGCUUAAUGUAAAACUCUAUAGAAGAAUUCACUUAUUCUUUCACACACACAGACACACAUACACACACACGUCACACGCGCAUAUACAUACAUAUAUUAUAAAUAAUUAUCGUUUUAUUAUAAAUAUUGAGUGAUACACACAGACUAUACGCAUAUAUUCAUUACUAAAUAUAUAUGUACAUUCAUUCAUUCCUAGGAUAUUAUUAAUUACAAGACAAACGCACACACACAAAAUGACCAUAACUACACUUGUGUGCUUCCAGGCUUAUUUCCACUUUGUGAUGUGGGCAG